AACGAACGCUGGCGGCAUGCCUAACACAUGCAAGUCGAACGAGACCUUCGGGUCUAGUGGCGCACGGGUGCGUAACGCGUGGGAACCUGCCCUUAGGUUCGGAAUAACUCCCCGAAAGGGGUGCUAAUACCGGAUAAUGUCUUCGGACCAAAGAUUUAUCGCCUUUGGAUGGGCCCGCGUUGGAUUAGCUAGUUGGUAGGGUAAAAGCCUACCAAGGCGACGAUCCAUAGCUGGUCUGAGAGGAUGAUCAGCCACACUGGGACUGAGACACGGCCCAGACUCCUACGGAAGGCAGCAGUGGGGAAUAUUGGACGAUGGGCGAAAGCCUGAUCCAGCAAUGCCGCGUAAGUGAUGAAGGCCUUAGGGUUGUAAAGCUCUUUUACCCGGGAUGAUAAUGACAGUACCGGGAGAAUAAGCUCCGGCUAACUCCGUG
rnacentral:rRNA from 1 species